rnacentral:rRNA from 1 species
GAUGAACGCUGGCGGCGUGCCUAAUACAUGCAAGUCGAGCGAACGGACGAGAAGCUUGCUUCUCUGAUGUUAGCGGCGGACGGGUGAGUAACACGUGGAUAACCUACCUAUAAGACUGGGAUAACUUCGGGAAACCGGAGCUAAUACCGGAUAAUAUUUUGAACCGCAUGGUUCAAAAGUGAAAGACGGUCUUGCUGUCACUUAUAGAUGGAUCCGCGCUGCAUUAGCUAGUUGGUAAGGUAACGGCUUACCAAGGCAACGAUGCAUAGCCGACCUGAGAGGGUGAUCGGCCACACUGGAACUGAGACACGGUCCAGACUCCUACGGGAGGCAGCAGUAGGGAAUCUUCCGCAAUGGGCGAAAGCCUGACGGAGCAACGCCGCGUGAGUGAUGAAGGUCUUCGGAUCGUAAAACUCUGUUAUUAGGGAAGAACAUAUGUGUAAGUAACUGUGCACAUCUUGACGGUACCUAAUCAGAAAGCCACGGCUAACUACGUGCCAGCAGCCGCGGUAAUACGUAGGUGGCAAGCGUUAUCCGGAAUUAUUGGGCGUAAAGCGCGCGUAGGCGGUUUUUUAAGUCUGAUGUGAAAGCCCACGGCUCAACCGUGGAGGGUCAUUGGAAACUGGAAAACUUGAGUGCAGAAGAGGAAAGUGGAAUUCCAUGUGUAGCGGUGAAAUGCGCAGAGAUAUGGAGGAACACCAGUGGCGAAGGCGACUUUCUGGUCUGUAACUGACGCUGAUGUGCGAAAGCGUGGGGAUCAAACAGGAUUAGAUACCCUGGUAGUCCACGCCGUAAACGAUGAGUGCUAAGUGUUAGGGGGUUUCCGCCCCUUAGUGCUGCAGCUAACGCAUUAAGCACUCCGCCUGGGGAGUACGACCGCAAGGUUGAAACUCAAAGGAAUUGACGGGGACCCGCACAAGCGGUGGAGCAUGUGGUUUAAUUCGAAGCAACGCGAAGAACCUUACCAAAUCUUGGCAUCCUUUGACAACUCUAGAGAUAGAGCUUUCCCCUUCGGGGGACAAAGUGACAGGUGGUGCAUGGUUGUCGUCAGCUCGUGUCGUGAGAUGUUGGGUUAAGUCCCGCAACGAGCGCAACCCUUAAGCUUAGUUGCCAUCAUUAAGUUGGGCACUCUAAGUUGACUGCCGGUGACAAACCGGAGGAAGGUGGGGAUGACGUCAAAUCAUCAUGCCCCUUAUGAUUUGGGCUACACACGUGCUACAAUGGACAAUACAAAGGGCAGCGAAACCGCGAGGUCAAGCAAAUCCCAUAAAGUUGUUCUCAGUUCGGAUUGUAGUCUGCAACUCGACUACAUGAAGCUGGAAUCGCUAGUAAUCGUAGAUCAGCAUGCUACGGUGAAUACGUUCCCGGGUCU